CUCAAUUUACUAUCUAUUUUUCAUGGAUCGUUGCCAUGUAAAUUAUCAUAUCUUAUUUAUAAGGACGACUUAGUUGGCAUAAUGAUAACUUCAUACAUUUUGAGUCAUGUAUCAAUCUUAGAGUUUCAUUUUGUCAUAAAAUAUGAUUGGAUGUGCUAUAUUUGAAUCAUGGGAUGGUCGACAUGUGUUUGGGGAUUGCGUUGAAUGGCCAUAAUUGAUUCCUAUUUGUUCCCUUCGUGAGUCUUCGGUCACAAAGUUUUUGAACUGUUUUGUUGUUGUUAUGUCAUAAUGAUUAAAGUUUGAAGUUUGAAUCUUCUUUGAAGAAUGAAGAUAUGGUGGAUGAAUAUCCGUGUGGCUUUUUGGGUCAACUGACAAGGGCGUAGCUUUUUCACUCUAGCAGAUGGGACUAUCACCUUUCGUGGGUGCACGAAGGUGUCUUGUGUCGUAAUGUGUUUCCUAACAUAAGGAUGUUCAGAUGUCUCUCUAUAGGCUUUGUCCAUUACUGGGUGAACUUGAUGUCCUACUCUAGCCUUAUAUCAUGUCUUGGACUCCCACCAAAAAAGUAAUGCGAGAAAGGGCACCUGUGGUUCGGUGCCAGGUUAGGAUGAAGGUGGAGACCUCGUUUAGGGGUGUCCUCAAGAUGCAUCUCAAAGGCUCGACAAUCUCAUGAAACUCAACUUUUCCUACAAAGGUGAUACUGUGCUACAAGCCAUGUUUCCUCUUCCAGCUGGGAGAGGAUCCAAUUCUUAUGAGCGAAAAGCAUCAGAGCAUGGUUGAAAUUGGUAAGGGAAGGAAUAGGCUUGUGUGACCAAGGUUAGGGUUGCUACCGAGAGCCUGAAGGUUUGCAGUAACAGGAGGCUCAGGGAAAAGUUCAAGAACAAAGCAGCUAUGUAUGUUCCUUUUUGCUCCAGGUUUUAACGGCUUCUUCUUGAGACAAAGAACACAUGGUUUGAAGAAGAAGCUUACUAAUUGUAUUUUGCUUGUAUUAGCAGACUAGAAUAGUCACUUUUACUCUUACCCAAGUAUGUAUGCUUACCAAUCGAGUUCCUGAAGAUGCAGAUAUAUGAUUCUCCAGAGAAGUGGUUGAAGAUUAACAGUGUUUUCGAAUUCACUGAGGUACUCACUUUGAAUUCUGAUGCUACAGAGGAUAAAUAUGACAGCAAUGAGUUCUCAAAUGGUUUCUUUGCAGAUGAGCUAAUCCAUUCACCCUGUUAACAAAAGUUCUUUUAAAUAUUAGAAAGAUAUUUCACACAA